rnacentral:tRNA from 1 species
GCAGUGGUAGUUCAGCGGUAGGAUUCUCACCUUCCAUCCAGGAGACCCGGGUUCGAUUCCCAGCCAAUGUU